AUACGUAGGUGACAAGCGUUAUCCGGAUUUACUGGGCGUAAAGGGCGUGUAGGCGGUCUUGCAAGUCAGAAGUGAAAUUCCUGAGCUCAACUCGGGCGCUGCUUCUGAAACUGCAGGACUUGAGUGCUGGAGGGGAUAGCGGAAUUCCUAGUGGAGCGGUAAAAUGCGCAGAUAUUAGGAAGAAAACCGGUGGCGAAGGCGGAUUUCUGGUCAGUAACUGGCGCUGAGGAGCGAAAGCGUGGGGAGCAAACAGGAUUAGAUCACCUGGUAGUCCACGCCGUAAAAGAUGAAUACUAGGUGUAGGGGGUAUCGACUCCCUCUGUGCCGCAGUUAACACAAUAAGUAUUCCGCCUGGGGAGUACGGCCGCAAGGUUGAAACUCAAAUGAAUUGACGGGG
rnacentral:rRNA from 1 species